GGCAACCCACUCGGGUCUCCUUCAACGCUAUGGAAGCUUUGCUCUUUUGCUCUUUGCAAUAAAUCUUGCUACUGUUCACUCUUUGGGUCCAUGCUGCUUUUAUGAGCUGUAACACUCACAGGGAAAAUCUGCAGCUUCACUCCCGAACCGAGCGAGACCACGAGCCCACCGGGAGGAAAGAACAACUCCAGACAUGCUGCCUUAAGAGCUGUAACACUCACCGCGAAGGUCUGCCGUUUCACUCCUGAGCCAGUGAGACCACGAACCCACCAGAAGAAAGAAACUCUGAACACAUCUGAACAUCAGAAGGAACAGACUCCAGACGCGCCACCUUAAGAGCUGUAACACUCACCGCGAGGGUCCGCGGCUUCAUUCUUGAAGUCAGUGAGACCAAGAACCCACCAAUUCCGGACACAGAAUUUCAUGGAGCCUGGAGCCCAGGAAAAGGGUGAAUCCAAUGCAGGCUGAUUUCUGGCUUACAUCACAGUCCAGUCUGAUUUUCUGCAGAUUACUUUCUACAAGACGAUUUGGGACCUCAGUUUACCACCUCCCAGCGGACCGACGGGUGCGGUGAGUGGAGAUGAUUUUGUGAGAGUUUUUAGGACAAUCCUGGAAGUGGGUUUGUCACUUCUGGCUGCACUCCAUUGGCCUGAAAGGAAUCACACGGCCCCACCCCAAUGCGGGAGGCUGGGAGUGUUCAGCGCCUGCAGAGAAGGUCAGGUGGGCUGGAAGCCCUGCGCCAGGCAUGGCCACGCCCUGGUGAAGGUGCUCGACAAAUGUGAACAUCUCCACCUAAGCCCCCCUUGGCACCACCACUGAGUCAGUCUGUGUUUUGGAUGUUUAAUUUUGGGGUUCAAUUUGCUGAUGGUGAAUUUGACAAUGAUGUUAUUGAUUAAUUCAUUUAAAGGGAGGAGAAUCACAAAUAUUGUGGCUAGUACAGAACAACCUCUUCCACCAAGCCAGUUGUGACUGUUGCGGAUGGAGAUGGACACCUAGUGAAUGAUUUAAUCCACCAACAAUUGUGGCACACAGGCAUCGUCUUCCCCACGCCAGGACUCAGAGGCUGAGCCCAGGGUGCUGAGAGGCUGAGCCCACAGCUCCGGGGUGAGGAAUGGAGCUCCCCGAGCGCGGCUUAUCUUUCAAGGGAGCUCACACUCUUUUACAACAACCCUCGAGGUGAGGGCUCCUUCAGACUCUCCCAACUCCACCCAUGGCCACAGCCUCCGGGGCAGGGCUCCUGUUCCUACCCACCCCUCAAGCUCCUUCUCAUCCACAUGCCCAGGCUAACGUUAGCCACACUGGCAGCGGGGGAACUGACCCUGAGCAGCAGGCGCUGGCCCCUGCUCCAAGCCCUGCUUUCCGAGUGAACUCUUGUACCAGCUGGAAUUGUCUCCGGGUGCUUCCUCCGUCAGACCACGGUCAAGUGCAGGUCCAGUGUUUUGGGUCAGAUGUCAGUGGGCAGGCUCAGCAUUCAUCCAAAGAAAUAGCAGCUUCGUAAUUGGUUACUUGUAGGGGUAAUUAGCUAUCUGCAUAAAUUAACUGAUUCCUCCUCAUAGUAUGUCCCCUAUAGACAGUGAGGGUUCAAUUUGCUGUUGGUGAAUUUGCUAAUGUGACUUAUUGAUUAAUCUUUUUAAAGUGGGGUGGUUCCCAACACUUGAGGCCACCUGAGCCCAUGGAGAGGGUGGAAACUGACCCACAAAGCUGCCAGCUGCUGGGGAACACGGGUCAGCCCAGUGAGGCAACUCUCUGGCCACAUUGCCCACCGCCUGCCCUUCACUCCCACCAAGCAUGGCUCCCUCAGAGUCCCAUGGCUGCUCUGCUGCCCAAGGAAACUGUUCCUCUGGGCGUUCUCAAAGGCCUGAAUGGAUGAGUGCCAUGUCCAGUGCUAUGAGUCUCCUGAUGGUAGAUGGACACUGUGUCCCAUGUCCAAUGGUGGGGACUGUGCCAUGCCCUGUGUCCAGUGAUGCUGGAUGGGCCAUGCCCAGUGUCCAGUGAUUAUGGACAGGCACCGUGCCAAGUGUGCUAUGAUUAUCGAUGGGUGCCAUGUCCAAUGUCUAAUGAUGAUGGACAGGUAUGUUCAGGGUCAAUUGAUGGUGGAUGGGCACCAUGCCCAGUGUCUAAUGAUGAUUCAAUUGAUGGUGGAUGGACGCCAUGUCCAGUGUCUAAUGAUGAUGGACAGGUAUGUUCAGGGUCAAUUGAUAGUGGAUGGGCGCCAUGUCCAGUGUCCAAUAAUGGUGUACCGUGCUCAAUGUCUGAUGAGAGUGUACAAGUGCCUUGCCCAGUGUCCAGUGAUGGUGGACAGGCACCAUGCCCAUUGUUCAGUAAUUAUGGUCAUUGGACAUGCCAAGUGUCCAAUGAUGGUGGACCAUGCCCAGUGUCUGAUGAGGGUGUAUGGGUGCCAUGCCCAAUAAUGGUGGACAGGCAUCAUAGCCAUUGUUCAGUGAUUAUGAACAGGUGCUAUGCCAAGUGUCCAGUGAUGGUGGAUGGUGCAAUGCCCAGGGUCCAAUGAUGGUGGAUGGGCACCAUGCUCAGUGUCCAUUGGUAAUGGAUGGGUACAAUGCCCAUUGUCUAAUGAGGGUGUAUGGGCACCAUGCCCAGUGUCCAGCUCAUUGUCCAGUGAUAAUGGAUGGGCCCCAUGCCCAGUGUCCAGUGAUUAUGGACAGGCACCAUGCCCAGUGUCCAGUGAUUAUGGACAGGCACCAUGCCCAGUGUUCAGUGAUGGUAGAUGGGCCUCAUGCCCUGUGUCCAAUGAUUAUGGACGGGCCCUAUGCCCAGUGUCCAAUGAUUAUGGACAGGCACCAUGCCCAGUGUUCAGUGAUGGUAGAUGGGCACCAUGCCCGGUGUCCAAUGAUUAUGGACAGGCACCAUGCCCAGUGUUCAGUGAUGGUAGAUGGGCACCAUGCCCAGUGUCCAAUGAUUAUGGACGGGCACCAUGCCCUGUGUCCAAUGAUUAUGGACAGGCACCAUGCCCAGUGUCUAAUGAUGGGGAAUAAUAGAGUUUGGAUGUUGUCCCCACCCAAAUCUCAUGCUGAAUUGUAAUCCCCAAUACCAGAGGUGUGGCCUGGUGGGAGGGGAUUGGAUCAUGGCAGUGGAUCCCUCAUGGCUUGGUAUUGUCUUCGAGACAGUGAGUGAGUUCUUGCAAAAUCUGGUCAUUUAAAAAUAUGUGGCACCUGCCCCUCACCUCUCUUACUUCUCCUUUUACCAUGUGAUGUGCCUGGUUCCCAUUUGCCUCAGGAAGCUUCCUGAGGCCUCCCCAGAAGCAGAAGCUACAAUGCUUCCUGUAGAGCCUGUGGAACUCUGGGCCAAUUAAAACUCUUUUCUUAUAAAUUACACAGUCUCAGGUACUUUUUUUUUUUUUUUUUUUUUUUUUUUUUUUUUUUUGAGACAGAAUCUCACACUGUUGCCCAGGCUGGAGUGCGGUGGCAUGAUCUCGGCUCACUGCAACCUCCACCUCCUGGGUUCAAGCAAUUCUCAUGCCUCAGCCUCCCGAGUAGCUGGGACUACAGGUGCACCUCAUCAUGCCCAGCUAAUUUUUUUAUUUUUAAUGGAGACGAGGUUUCACAAUGUUGGCCAGGAUGGUCUCCAUCUCUUGACCUCGUGAUCCACCCACCUCGGCCUCCCAAAGUGCUGGGAUUACAGGUGUGAGCCACUGGUGCCCGGCCUCAGGUACUUAUUAAUAGCAAUGCAAGAAAGGUCUAACGCAGUGGACAAGUACCAUGCCCAGUGUCUGCUGAGGGUGUAUGGGCAGCCUACCCAAUGUCCUCUGAUGGUGGGGCAUUUGUCCAUGGGUCUGUGAAGAGCCAGGAAUACCUCGGCCAUGUUGGGGACAAGCUCCCCAGCCUGUGGAGUCCCCUCAUCCUUCUUUCUGUACCGUGAGUGCUCCUCCAAUCGGAGAAUACUUUUCUCCUCACCACAUUCCACCUGUUACCAUAGGUGUUUGUCUUUUUGGCCUCCCUGAUAAAUUUCAGGCUCCUCAGGGACUGGGCCCACAGAAGCCCCUAGACUCUGGAUCUCCUAGCACUGGUCCUUAGCAGUGUUAAUGGAUGGAUGGUUGCCGGGGUACAUGAAUGGUUCAACUUUUCUUCAUAUAUUUAUCACAAGUUAGAGGGAGGAUUCCAUUCACACCUCCCAAAGAGUCCAAACUGCUCACCACUUAGACCUGGAAGCCUUUACGGGAGACAAAAACUCCUGGUGAGGAAGGUAGAGCUUCUAGGGAAAGAAAGAAAAAAAAUUAGCAACUUUAUAUGGGACCUUGUGUUCAGCCAUUCUUGCACUGCUAUAAAGAAAUACCUGAGACUGGGUAAUUGAUAAGAAAAGAGGUUUGAUUGGCUCAUGGUUGUGCAGGCUGUAUAGGAGGCAUGGCACCGGCAUCUGCUCAGCUUCUGGGGAGGCCUCAGGGAGUUGUUACUCAUGGUGGAAGGUAAAGCGGAAGCAGGCCUGUCUCAUGGCGAGAUUGGGAACAAGAGACAGCAGGAGGUGCCACACGCUUUUAAACAAGCAGAUCUCACUCAUGACCAAGGGGAUGGUACUAAGCCAUUCACAAGGGAUCUGCCGCCGUGAUCCAAUCACCUCCCAUCAGGCCCCACCCCCAACACUCAGGACCACAUUUCCACAUGAGAUUUGGGUGGGGACACACAUUCAAACUCGAUCAGACCUUUGCCUUCGCGAUUUCACCAGGUCUUGCUGCGAGCACACCCACAGGGCCAUCUGCUGUCUGCCAUCAGUGUCUAUUUGAUGGCAGUGCCUCAUUCGGGCUGCCUGGCGCCACGAUGUUUCAGUUGUCCCCUUUUGAUGGCCAUGCCUGAGAAGCCACAGGAGUAGUUGCUCAGUGUCAGGACUCAGGCUUCUGGUCCAAAACCCAGACCCACUUCUUAAGGCAGUGUGACCUUCGGCAGGUCACUUAAGCUCUUUCCUGUCUCUGAAAUGACUGUAAUAAUGAAAAGCUCUUCCUACAGUCAUUGCAGGGACUAAGUGAGUUAAUGCAGGAAAUCCUUACAGCAUUGCUGCACAUCACAGCGCCCAGUAAACAGUAGCCAUUGAUGCCUCCAUUUCCCAGAGGAGGAAACUGAGGCUCUGAGAGGUUCAGAGAUUUGCCCAAGGCUGCAGAGCUAGUACGCGGCAGAGAGAGGACUUAGAGCUAACUCUGUCUUCACCUAUUUACUGAUCACAGGCUUGGUUAGACCCCAAGGUCUCCCGCACACUCCCCAGUGGACAUCUCCACUGAUGUGGCUCUGACGCCACCAGCCCCAGCCCUGGUGUGUAUCGAGCCAGCGGCGGUGGUGGGGCCAGUGGCAGCAGGGUAGGGCAGUUGCUUUCACUGGAGUCUUUAGCACACAAGGCGAUGGGUCCAGCUGGGUCUUCUGAUGCUUAGACAUGGAGUUGGGCUGAAUUGCCUGGACCUAACAUCAUUUAAGGAUGAAUACAUUGUUCUGGGAUGUUCUCAUAAGAUCACAGAGACACAGAACAGAGACAGAGGUUUUCUCUUUCUAUUUUUCUGUUUCUCUACCUUGAUGACAUCACUUAUUGUAGUGUGUUUGAAUUGUGUCCCUGCCAAAUCCAUCUCUACCCAGAGCCUCAGAAUCUGCACUUAUUUGAAAAUAGGGUUUUUUGGCCGGGUGUGGUGGCUCAUGCCUGUAAUCCCAGGCACUUUGGGAGGCCAAGGUGAGCGGGAUCACCUGAGGUCAGGAGUUCAAGACCAACGUGGCCAACAUGGUGAAACCCCAUCUCUACUAAAAAUACAAAAAUUAGCCGGGCAUGAUGGCAGGUGCUACUUGGCAGCUACUUGGGAGGCUGAGGCAAGAGAAUCGCUUGAACCCGGGAAGCGAAGGUUGCAGUGAGCCAAGGUCAUGCCAUUGCACUCCAGCCUGGGCGGCAGAGUAAGACUUCAUCUAAAAAAAAAAAAAAAAGAAAAUGGGGUUUUUGUAGAUGUCGUGAGUGAAGAUGAGGUCUUCCUGGAGUAGGGUGGGCCCUAAAUCAAAUGACUGGUGUCUCCAUAAGCAGAGGAGAGGACACGCAGAGGGACACCAGGGAAGAGGGUGGCGAGACAGUGGAAGCAGAGGCUGCAGCGAGGCAUGGACAUCUACAAGCCGAGGCACAGCUGGGAUGGCCGGCCACCGGGAGCUGAAGGGACAGGGAAGGAGCCCCCGGAGGAAGUGCUGCUGGCCCACACCUUGAUCUCGGACUUCCAGCCUCCAGAGCUGGGAGAGAAGAGAUUCCGUUGUGCAAACACCUGGUCUAUGGUGCUUCGUCCUCGCAGAUGCGGCAAGCGGGUCCAGCCAAGAAUAAAUGCGAGGUGGGCAGCAGCGGAAUCACUUCUCACUGGGGUGGGAUGAGGCCAGAGGGAAACGAGGAGGUGGGCUCAGAAGCCCAGUUCCCCAGUGGGGUUUUCUUUUUCCCUUCCCGGGGGGUGGCUCCUGCGUGGCUCCUUUUGCUGCCGUCUGCCCAUCCUGACUUGAUCUUAUUUGCCCUGGCGGAGCUGCCUUCCCCCUCGUGUCACCUCUGCCCUUUCCGGGAGGGGCCCUUGUUCUCCGCCCCCAGCAACACUCCCAUCCCGUGAGCCUCAGGCUUUGCUGCCGGUCUCUGCUGUCCCAAAUGCGCGGCUCACUCCUGUCCUGUGUGGGCUGUCACCUGGCGGGGGAGUGGGUGGAUACAGAGGUGGUUAGGCUUCAGAACGGUUUCCCUCUCCUCUGUGACUGGCAGCUCUGUCAUUCAUCAAACCCUGAGAUGCCAGACAGUUUCCUAUCUCUCAAACAAAGGUUAAGCAAAUCAAGUUUUCACAGAGUAAAGCUGAUCCAUUGACAGGACAAAUUGCUUAAGGAGAAUUCAUCUCACUGUCGGCAAAAUCCAUCAAUCUAGGGUUAGUCAUUGAGUAUCUCCUGCCAGAGCAAGGGACCAAAAAAUGAAGGGAUGAGGGCGAGCAGGAAAUACUCAGGCCCUGCCCGCAGUCAAGGACAGGUCCUGAGCAGGGGCUGUAAUGGAACAAGAGUGUUUCCUGUUCCUCUCCCUAACCCAGGCCCUCACUCCACGUACCUAAUGCCGGGUCGAGCACUGAAUAAAGCACCAAGAGAUACUGUGCAUGGCACACCCCUGUGGGCAGCCUCCCUGCUCUCCUCGGUCAAGCAGGGCCCCCUUGUGUAUCCCCAUCUACCCCACUGCAGCCCCACACAGGUUCUCCCCAGCCUGUGGCCCAGCCCCUGCCCCUGCCAUGCAGUUGCCCCCCACAGCCCCCCAUGGAGGCCUCUGCCCAGCUCUCAGCCCUGGGGUGAGCUCACCUCCCAAGCCUAGCCAGAGGGAGCGCAGCCCUCCUCACACCCUUAUCUCACCUCCCCACCUCUAGACUGUGCAGGAGCUUUCUGCUGUGUGAACCCCCAGGCCAUGGUGCCUGGUCCCUGCAGACACAGCGAGGGAACCACCCAGAGGUGCAUGUGGAGUGGGUGGAUGGCAGCCAGGAGGCUCUUCUCACCCAGGGGAUGAGGGCAGAGGAAAACCAAGAGGGAAACCAGGCCACAAGGGGCUCACCAUGCCUCUGCCCCUCCUGUCCAUGGCGAUGACCACGGUGGACACCAGCAGGCCCCAGGCGAGGCGGCGGGAGGCAGCAGGCAGGAUGGGCCAUCCAGGGAGGGAGCUGGGAGGCCGAGUGGGCAGUGAUGGGCUUCAGUCUCCCUGAGGGGCUGUCCUCCCACUGAGGAGUCCUCAGCCUCAUUAAAUAACCAGGGUUUGUCUCUGUGGCGUGGGUGGCAGGGACAAAAAUCAGUGCCCAGGAAUCACGGCUUCCUCCCUCCCUCACUGCCCAAGCGGGAGAUCAGGCUCCUUCCCCACCUCACAGCAGCCAGAGGUGGGGGCCUGGGAGCUGGGAGAGGAGAGAUUCAUAUCACCCAAGGGGCUCUGUGGGAGGAGGUAAAGGUGCCUUGGGGGGAGGAAGGGUGACGAGGAUCAAGGAUGAUGCUGGGCUUGGGGAGGAGCAUGGGGAAGAAGAGUGUCCUCCCAGGGCUGUGGGAAGGCAGGGGAGAAAGAGCACAUGAGAGGCGGCACCACCCUGGUGUUCCCUGGAGAGACCCUCACAGAGGCGCUGGUCUGUUGGUUGCUAUGAAGAGGGUCCCCUUUGAUUGACAUGCGGAGGAUGCUGCAUGAACUUGGAGCCGAGGCAGUGGGGUUUUCACAGCUUGGAAAAGCCCAGACUUGGUAUUUGUUAUGGGUUGAGUUGUGUCCCGUGAAAACCAGGGUUCUGGAGCCCGAAACCCUGGUACCUGUGAAUGAGAGCUUAUUUGGAAAUUGGGUCUUGCAAACAUGAUGAAGUCAUGGGGAUCAUGAGGGUGGGCCCUAGUCCAGCAUGAUGUCCUUAUGGGGAGGCGAGAACCCUGUGUGAAGACUCCCACGGGACAAGGCCUGAGAUGGAGGCAGAGAUAGACACGGCACAUCUAAAGCCAAGGAACCCUGAGCCUCACGGCAGCCCCGGGAGCUGGGGAGGGGCUGUGGAGGACUCUCCAAGUCUCAGGGAGGCGGCCCUGCUGACAUCCUGACUUCAGACUUUCCAGCCUCCAGAACCGGGGGAUGAUAAUCCCUGUUGUUUUAAGGCCCCCCAGUUCGUUGUUACAGCAGCCCCAGGAAGCUAAUUCAGCACUCUAAGUUGCAUUGCAAGCAGAGUCCUUCAGGAGAAUGCGAGGAACUGCGUGGUCCAGCUUGGGCUGAGGGCAGUGAGCAGAACCUUGCCAGGAAAGGAGACCAUGGCUCACCAGGCCAGGCAGCCCUCUCUCCUCUCUGGCCCCAACGGGCACAGCAAACUGAGGCUCCAGACAGGAGGCUGAGCACAGGCUGUCUCUGCCCUGUGCCCACACCUGCUUGUAAGCUGAGGGCAUUUUAUUGGCACAGACUUCAAAAGCAUUAAAAAACAUCCCACAUGGUAAUGUUAUGUACAAGCAAGGUAAUUCUACAUGUCUGGAGAAUGGAUGUAGCAUAAAUUGGGUCUUUUGGCCAAAAUGAGAAAUAACAGAUGCAAAGAUAUUGCUAUUUAACAAAUGCACAGUUUUGCUCCACUUUUGGUUAAGAGUCUUGUUUGCUUUUGAUGAAGAGUCAAGGACUGAAAUAAUGUAAAAAAGUUAAGAAUAUUUAUUUAAACAGGAAUUUUCAUCUAAGGUCCAAGCACAAAUAGCCCCGGCAACACCACGUUCCAGCACCGAGCACAGUACGAUAACUGUGCUCAAGGUUACCUUCCAUUUCAAGUUGUAAGCAUUUUUCCAGAAAUAUCUAUGACUGGAGUUAGAACCAUGACGGCUCAGUCAUGUUGUUAGUCUCAUGAUGAAGAACAUGAAAUAGUUUGGAGAAAAAGACAGAUACAUUUAAUGGUUCCAAAUUACAGAUCCUCCACGGUGGAUCAAAAGCUUACUGGGACAUUUUUCUUUAAGGGCAAGGGAAUUCAAGAUACUGGUGGCGCCAUUUCAACAAAUCAUUGCCGUAAAUGUGGUUUGCGGGAGGCCACCAGGCUGGUGGACAUGGGUUGUUCCACCAGGCUAGAACACAAUUGCUUUUGUGUGUUGUGUGUAUGUGUGUGUCUUAUGUAUGUUUCUGUGCCGCGGUGUGUGUGUGUGUGUGUGUGUGUGUGCACAAUCUCAAUGCAGGUAGGUUAUCCAGGCACACGGGACACCUGGUAGAGCACCUUUAGGAAGAUGAGCCAAGAAUUAUUUCCAUAAACCAUGUCAGAAUCGUCACUGAACACUUGCCCUUCCUCCUUAUGAAAAUGUUUAAUUUACUCAUUGUUAGACAAAAAGGCAGACGCUUAAGAUUUUUCAUCAUUGUAAAAGAAGUGUUAUCUAUGGCAAAUGAGUCAGUAAACACAUCCUAAUAGCAAUAUGCUGCAAAAUGUGUCAAUUUGAGGCCAAACAUGUUCCUUUAUUAGAAUUGAUGUUCUCCAUCCUGAAGCUCCUAUUACAGCCUCAUUUGGGUGGAAGGAGGAAUUUCAGGGAGCAAUGCAGUUCAGCAGAAAUUGUUGACACGUUAUCUCCCUUCACCAAAGGUCAACAUUUGAUGGAAAGUUACACAUAAUAAAAUAAUUCCCAAA